GGUAGUUCAGUCGGUUAGAAUACCGGCCUGUCACGCCGGGGGUCGCGGGUUCGAGUCCCGUCCGCUCC
rnacentral:tRNA from 1 species